rnacentral:rRNA from 1 species
AGUCGUAACAAGGUCUCCGUUGGUGAACCAGCGGAGGGAUCAUUACCGAGUUUACAACUCCCAAACCCCUGUGAACAUACCUUAUGUUGCCUCGGCGGAUCAGCCCGCGCCCCGUAAAAAGGGACGGCCCGCCGCAGGAACCUUAAACUCUGUUUUUAGUGGAACUUCUGAGUAUAAAAAACAAAUAAAUCAAAACUUUCAACAACGGAUCUCUUGGUUCUGGCAUCGAUGAAGAACGCAGCAAAAUGCGAUAAGUAAUGUGAAUUGCAGAAUUCAGUGAAUCAUCGAAUCUUUGAACGCACAUUGCGCCCGCCAGUAUUCUGGCGGGCAUGCCUGUUCGAGCGUCAUUUCAACCCUCAAGCCCAGCUUGGUGUUGGGAGCUGCAGUCCUGCUGCACUCCCCAAAUACAUUGGCGGUCACGUCGAGCUUCCAUAGCGUAGUAAUUUACAUAUCGUUACUGGUAAUCGUCGCGGCCACGCCGUUAAACCCCAACUUCUGAAUGUUGACCUCGGAUCAGGUAGGAAUACCCGCUGAACUUAAGCAUAUUAAUA